AGUUUGAUCCUGGCUCAGGACGAACGCUGGCGGCGUGCCUAAUACAUGCAAGUCGAACGCUUUUUCUUUCACCGGAGCUUGCUCCACCGAAAGAAAAGGAGUGGCGAACGGGUGAGUAACACGUGGGUAACCUGCCCAUCAGAAGGGGAUAACACUUGGAAACAGGUGCUAAUACCGUAUAACAAUAGAAACCGCAUGGUUUCUAUUUGAAAGGCGCUUUUGCGUCACUGAUGGAUGGACCCGCGGUGCAUUAGCUAGUUGGUGAGGUAACGGCUCACCAAGGCAACGAUGCAUAGCCGACCUGAGAGGGUGAUCGGCCACAUUGGGACUGAGACACGGCCCAAACUCCUACGGGAGGCAGCAGUAGGGAAUCUUCGGCAAUGGACGAAAGUCUGACCGAGCAACGCCGCGUGAGUGAAGAAGGUUUUCGGAUCGUAAAACUCUGUUGUUAGAGAAGAACAAGGAUGAGAGUAAAAUGUUCAUCCCUUGACGGUAUCURACCAGAAAGCCACGGCUAACUACGUGCCAGCAGCCGCGGUAAUACGUAGGUGGCAAGCGUUGUCCGGAUUUAUUGGGCGUAAAGCGAGCGCAGGCGGUUUCUUAAGUCUGAUGUGAAAGCCCCCGGCUCAACCGGGGAGGGUCAUUGGAAACUGGGAAACUUGAGUGCAGAAGAGGAGAGUGGAAUUCCAUGUGUAGCGGUGAAAUGCGUAGAUAUAUGGAGGAACACCAGUGGCGAAGGCGGCUCUCUGGUCUGUAACUGACGCUGAGGCUCGAAAGCGUGGGGAGCAAACAGGAUUAGAUACCCUGGUAGUCC
rnacentral:rRNA from 1 species